AAGGGCGUCAGAGAGAGGAAGGGGCCAUGCCCCCGCUGCCCUGACUGCUCAGAGUUGGGGAAAUCAUCAGGAGUGAGACAGAAUCCACUGUGGGCAAAGUCCAUCUCUUGUUUUCUUCUGCGGUAAUGAAAUAGCACACAAAUGUUAUCAGGAAGGAAAACUGAACCCCCACCUCACAUGGGACCGAGUGACCUGGGCCGCUCUCCCAACAUGGUGCACACAGAUCCCUGCAGCCAGACACAGGAUGGCAGCCCAGGGUAAGAGGACACAUUCCUAGAAGAGAAAUUACUGGGUGAAAGUGAAUGAACAUUUUCCAAGCUACCGGUUCUCAAGUUGCUCUCCAGACACAUUUACCAAUUCUGUCCCCAGUGUGAGCAAAUUCACUCCCUGAACACUGGCUAUCAUUGGAUAUGAGGAUGUUUUGCAGUUUGAUAAUCAUUCCUUUGAUUUGUAAUAAAGGUGAGCAUCUUUUUC